CCUGUAAAACAUAAACCCAACAUAUACAAAUCAGGUAUCAUCAACAUGUUGAAUGAUGUUACACAAGAAUGUAAAUUCCUACUGUAUGUAUAGCAAGCCAAAAAUAAUAAAAAUGUCGAGUCAAAAUGGAUAUAUGUAAGGAAAUGUUAACUUUGUCCAAAAACCAUUUCUUCAAGCAUAUAUUAAAUAAAAACCAUGCUUAUAUCAAUGAUCCUUUAUCCAGACCCCCUAAAAUGAGAAUAAUUCCCUACAAAUUGAACAAGCGUAAAAGAUUUUUGCUCAUUCAAUUCACUGGAAAAAUUAUAAAUCAAGGAAUAUGAGGAAUCAAAAUAUUUGCACAUAUAUUUGUAGCUUGACAUGAAAUAUCUAACCUCCUGAAUUUAAAGAGAACUCAAAUGCUCCAUUGCUACAUUAUGUCGAUAUAUGAGAGCUAUGCAAGUCAAAAUAACAGCAACCUUGGGGUGUUGAGCCCCUACAUAAUAUCAAUAGAGACGUAUCAAAUACCAUGACGUUUGAUAAACUUAUAUCAUUUUUCAUGUAGAAUAUCACUAUUCUUCAGUGUUGUAUUCAGCAUCUACUCUGUAUCAUUAAAUUUCCCGAAGAAGGAAAAUUCAGAUUCAAAUUAGAAGGACAUAAUAGGAUAAACCUUUAAAUGACAAGUUCUACAAGUAAACUUAUAUUUCCCCAUAUGGGUUUCAAGCUAUCCUAAAGAACAAGUAGCAUCACAACUUCAAUUUCAGAAUGAAACAUCCUCAAUAAGUUGAAAUUCAUACCAUCACAAAAGAAAAAAAAAAACUCCAUCACAAUAAAUAACUAAAACUUUUAGAAUCAUGUAUAAGCCCCAACAAAA
rnacentral:lncRNA from 1 species